GAAUUCCAGCUUAUCAAUUUUCUUAGUUCACUCUAAAUUGGGAAAUAUUUUGUAGAAAAAACCGUAGGUUGAUGGAUACAUCUCCGUCAGAAAUGGCAAGUGCUUUAUUUACCUGGAUCUGAAGCGUCAUUCUUCAGUGGUGUCUUUGUUACAUUUUAUCUCCUUAACAUUGUGAAUUUAUAAAUAAUCCAAAUGACAAUUCCAGUAUAGUAGCUAGGUUGAUGUUCAUCCUAAAACACCAUCAUGGUUGUAAGCUUGAUAAACAACAAAUUCCCUUUCUAAAAAAGAGCCCUAUUACUUUUGUUCGCUACCCCUUCCACUUCAACUUAUCUAAAUUUAUUUGUACAUUUGAAUUUUUGGGACUUGGUGUGGUUGUUUCAACACGAAAUUUUAGUCCUUUUCUUUUGGUGGGGUCCAAUUAGGGAAGGGGAGGUUAUGGGGAUUCGACCUGCACGUCAUAGAUAUUGGAUGAAAUUGUAACCAUUAAACUUCAAUUCCUAGCAAGGCAAUUCAAUCUCGAUGAAAUUGUAACCAUUAAAUUGCCUUGCGAAAGACGUAUUACUUACCCAACAAAGACCAUUAAACUAUGAUGCACGUCAUAGAUAUUGCCUAUGUGGUAAUUUUUUCUAAAACAAUCUGAAAAAUUAAUUUUUCUAAAAACAAAUUUGUUAAAAAUGGCUUUUAUUAAUUUUUUUUUUUGAUUUUAUAAAACCUGCUUCUUAAAAAAGAAAAUAUUCUGGAGAAUUGAAUUUUUUUUAUUAAAAGAUCUGGAAAAUGAUUUUUUUUAUGUCACCCAAUUCCAACGAUUAGACUUGCUUAUGUGGGAAUAUGUUAGAAAUGAGGUGUAUUUUUGAAACUUUGCUAACAGUAGGGGUAUAUUUGGCCCAACUUGUAACGGGAGGGAUAUAUUUAACUACUUUGCCUAACGGAGGCUAAAGUUAGCCAAUAGAGGGGUAUAUUUGACCCUUUUCCCUUUUAACAAACUUAAAUUUCUACUUCAAAUCUGAUGUUGUGAUUUUUGUGUUCUUCGAAUCUGAUAUUUUGCUUUUGUGAUUUCUCUCUUGGUAUACGGAAAAUGAUUUUGAAAAGUGAUAAAAAAUUAAUGAUAAUUGCAGGUACUGUAAGCAUCUCUGGAAUCGUCACAAGUUUUUCAUUUUGAAGGUUGAAAUAGAAGUGUAGAUGGAUACAGAAGAAAGAACAGACAUACAUCUAGCAAUGACAAAGAAAUAAUGGCAAUUGAGACUGGAACUCCCUCUGUGACUGGAACUCCCUCGGCGAAUAUUGCACCAGCGGUUACUCCUACAACCCGUACCGAUGUGCCAUCGGCUGAGAAACCUGCGAAGUUCACCGGUGCCAACUUUAAAGGAUGGCAGCAAAGAAUGUUCUUUUGGCUUACCACCCUUGGUAAGCAAAAGUUCACCAGUGAGGACCCUCCCGUGCCUGCCGCCGACAUGCCUGACAAUCAAAAGUUCAUGCUUACUGAGGCUUGGAAACAUGCUGAUUUCUUGUGCAAAGGCUACAUUUUGAGUGCCUUAGAAGAUGACUUGUACAACGUCUACAGUGCAGUAGAGACCUCCAAAGAACUAUAGAGUGCACUUGAAAAGAAGUACAAAACCGAAGAUGCUUGCUUGAAGAAGUUUGUGGUUGCCAAAUUCCUAGACUACAAAAUGGUGGAUGGAAAAACCGUUGGAACCCAAGUUCAAGAGCUUCAACUUAUCUUCCAUGACCUUAUUGCUAAAGGUAUGGUAGUGAAUGAAGCGUUCCAAGUGGCUGCAAUGAUCGAGAAGUUGCCGCCCUCAUGGAAAGAUUUCAAGCAUUAUCUUAAGCACAAGAGAAAGGAAAUGAAGUUGGAGGAUCUUGUGAUUCGCCUCAAGAUCGAGGAAGAUAACAAAACCGCUGAGAAGAGGUACCGUAAGAGUUCAUCGAUUGAAGGGGCAAAUGUCGUUGAAGAUGCUGCUCCGAAAAAGAACAGAAAAGGAAGAGGUCUUCUGGAAAGGAGAAGGUUCCUAACAAGAAAAAAUUCAAGGGCAACUGUUAUAAUUGUGGUAAAGCAGGCCAUAAAGCUCCCGACUGUCGUGCCCCCAAGAAGGACAAAGAGAAAAACAAGGGUCAGGCAAACAUGGUGGAAGAUGUUGAUGACCUGUGUGCAAUGCUGUCUGAGUGCAACCUGGUUGGUAACCCAAAUGAGUGGUGGCUUGAUUCUGGCGCCACUCGACAUGUGUGUGCCGUUAAGGAAGCAUUUGCAACCUACACUCCCGCUGGACCCGAAGAGGAGCUAAACAUGGGAAAUACUGCAACAACCAAAGUUGAAGGAUAUGGAAAGGUUCGGUUGAAGAUGACAUCCGGAAAGGUGCUGACUCUCAACAACGUCAUGCACGUUCCAACAAUUAGGAAUAACCUAGUUUCAGCCGCACUACUCGUGAACAAUGGGUUUAAGUGCGUGCUGGUUAGUGAUAAAUUUGUACUUAGUAAGAAUGACAUGUUUGUAGGAAAGGGCUAUCUCACCGAGGGCCUUUUCAAACUUAAUGUAAUGGUUGUUGACAGUAUUAAUGGAAAAUCUGCUUCUUCUUACUUAUUGGAGUCAAAUAAUUUAUGACAUGUUCGUUUAGGACAUGUCAAUUACAAAACCUUGCAGAAAAUGAUUAAUCUUGAAAUAUUGCCUAAAUUUGAGUGUAAUAUAUCUAAAUGUCAAAUAUGUGUUGAAUCAAAGUUUGUUAAGCAUUCGUAUAAGUCUGUUCAAAAGAAUUCAAAUCCUUUAGACUUAAUCCAUACUGACAUUUGUGAUAUGAAGUCAAUACCAUCUCGCGGUGGGAAAAAGUAUUUCAUAACUUUUAUUGACGAUUGCACUCGAUAUUGUUAUGUUUAUUUGCUAAAUAGUAAGGAUGAAGCAAUAGAAGCAUUUAAGCAAUAUAAGAAUGAAGUCGAAAAUCAAUUGAAUAAAAAGAUUAAAAUGAUUAGAAGUGAUAGGGGUGGGGAAUACGAAUCUCCUUUUGCAGAGAUAUGUUUAGAAUAUGGGAUUAUUCAUCAAACUACUGCCCCCUACACACCACAAUCAAAUGGAAUUGUGGAAAGGAAAAACCGAACAUUAAAGGAGAUGAUGAAUGCUUUAUUAAUAAGUUCCGGUUUACCGCAGAGCUUGUGGGGGGAAGCUAUCCUUACAGCUAAUCGAAUACUCAACAGGGUGCCCCAUAGCAAAACACAAUCUAUUCCAUAUGAACUAUGGAAAGGAAGAAAACCCUACUUGAAAUAUUUCAAAGUGUGGGGGUGUUUAGCAAAGGUCCAAGUUCCUUUGCCCAAAAGGGUAAAAAUCGAACCAAAAAUGUGGAUUGUGUUUUUAUUGGCUAUGCUACGAACAACAAAGCUUGUCGGUUUUUGGUUCACAAAUCGGACAACCUCGAAAUUCAUGUUAAUACAGUAAUUGAAUCAGAUAAUGCUGAAUUUUUUGAAAACAUUUAUCCGUAUAAAAUUGAAUGUGAGUCAUCAAGUGAAAGAUCCAAACGACCGCGGGAAGAACCAAAGGAAAGUACACCAAGUGAAGAGGAUCCAAGGCGUAGCAAAUGUCAAAGAACAUCUACUUCUUUUGGAUUAGAUUUUGUGACAUUCUUGCUUGAAAAUGAGCCUCAAACAUUUAAAGCAGCGAUGUCAUCUUCUGAUUCAGCAUUUUGGAAAGAGGCAGUCAAUAGUGAGAUUCAAUCAAUCUUAGAUAACCACACAUGGGAAGUGGUUGAUCUUCCUCCUGGAAACAAGCCUUUAGGUUCUAAAUGGAUUUUUAAAAGGAAAAUGAAAGCUGAUGACACUAUUGACAAAUAUAAGGCAAGACUUGUGGUCAAAUGUUAUAGACAAAAAGAAGGUCUUGAUUAUUUUUGACACAUACUCGCCUGUAACAAGAAUAACGUCCAUUCGGGUGUUAGUGGCUCUGGCAGCCGUGUGAAAUUCACCAAAUGGACGUUAAAACAACUUUCUUAAAUGGUGAUUUGGAGGAAGAAAUUUACAUGGAACAACCCGAGGGUUUUGUGGUUCCUGGUAAAGAAAAGAAAGUGUGCAAACUUGUAAAGUCGCUAUGGACUUAAACAAGUACCCAAAAAAUGGCAUGCUAAAUUUGACCAAACCAUGUUGGCAAAUGGCUUUAAAAUCAAUGAGUGUGAUAAAUGUGUUUACAUUAAAAACACUCCAGGCCACGAAGUCAUUGUUUGUUUGUAUGUUGAUGACAUGCUGAUAAUGAGCAAAGAUAUGACAGAUAUAAAUGCUACAAAGCGCAUGCUGGCUAGCAAAUUUGACAUGAAAGACUUAGGAGUUGCUGAUGUAAUCCUAGGAAUCAGAAUUCAUAGAACUCCACAAGGUAUAGCAUUAUCACAGUCUCACUACAUAGAGAAAGUAGUUGACAAGUUCUAAGUACUUGGAUUUCAAAAUUGCCAGAACUCCAAUUGAUGUGAGUUACGCACUUCAAAAGAAUGAAGGUGAAAGUAAAUCACAAGGGGACUAUGCGAGAGUGUAGGGAAGUCUAAUGUAUAUCAUGAAUUGUACACGACCAGAUAUAGCAUGUGCUAUUAGCAAACUGAGUCGGUUUACAAGUAAUCCCAAUCACACACAUUGGAUGGCAAUGAAACGAGUUUUAGGGUAUCUGAAACAUACUCAAGACUAUGCUUUGCAUUAUAAUAAAUAUCCCGAAGUGAUUGAGGGAUAUACUGAUGCAAAUUGGAUCACUGGAUCGUCUGAAGUUAAAUCCACAAGUGGAUAUGUUUUCACAAUUGGGAGUGGAGCAGUGUCUUGGAAAUCAUCCAAACAGACUUGCAUCGCUCGUUCCACUAUGGAAUCUGAAUUCAUAGCUUUAGACAAGGCCGGUGAAGAAGCUGAAUGGCUCCGAAAUUUCUUAGAAGAUAUUCCAUUCUGGCCUAAACCUUUGGCUCCUAUAUGUAUACAUUGUGACAGUCAAGCAACAAUAGGUAGGGCAGGGAGCGUAAUGUAUAACAGACAAUCUCGUCAUAUACGACGGAGACACAAUACCAUUAGACAACUCCUCUCUAGUGGCGUUAUCACGAUUGACUAUGUAAAGUCAAGAGAUAACGUAGCGGAUCCGCUUACAAAAGGCUUAUCUAGAGAGGGAGUUAGUAGAUCAUCAAUGGGAAUGGGGUUAAGGCCGAGGACAAGUCAUCAUGGCGGUAACUCCACCUAGCAGACUGGAGAUCCUAAAAGCUAGGUUCAAGGAGAUCAAACAAAGUUGUGACUGACGGUUUAACAUUGUCAAAUAACUCAACCCAUUCUCGGAUGAAGAUAAUGUUCAGAAAUAAGGAUAAAACUUUAUGGCUUGUUAAUGAGUUAAUAAAACAUUAAGAUUUUUAAUGAUUAUCUAAAUCUGGCAGUGUAUGACCAGAUAAUGUGGCUAUAGGACCACGUGUUUAGAAAUCACCUAUGUGAGUGUUUAAGUGUAAGCCGCUUUAAAGGGGAAUGACAGUGAAGGCCCAUUCUAUAUGCACUCAUGAAAUCAGGCGGUGUUCAUGGCUAAAACGAAUACAACCGUGAGAACCAUAAACGGUUGAGGGUUGAUUGUGUGACUUAUGUUGUCUAGGUAUACAACAAAGUUUGACGGUUCAAAGAUAUCAAAUCUACCGAUUGAUCGAGUAUGUCCGAUAUAAGUUCACUAUGGAAAGUUCAAAGGGAAACCUACUUAUCCGGAUGCAGUUAAUCUUCGCUUGUAUAUCACACUUGUCCGCGCAUUCUUUUAUAUUAUGGCUAUUCCCCAUUCAUGUGGGGGAUUGUUGGGUUUUGAUAUUGGUGAAUGGAAAAUGAUGAGAUGAAAAGUGAAGGGAAUGUAAAAGGUCUCUUUUACUUUGGGGAAUGUAAAAUGUCCCUUUUGCUUUGGUUAAAGCAUUUGUCCCACAUAGGAAAAAGAGAGGAAAAGAGAGGUGUAUAUAUUACAUUACACCUUCUCUAGUCGCUAAAAGGGUUGAGGGGGCAAGGACCCCUCGCGCCGUCGUCGUCGCUCGCUCGGCUCGGCUCAGCUUCGGCUAAAAAACAAUUGAUUAUCUUUUUGGACAAACUUUUUUUUAAUUAAUUAAUUAAUUAAUCCAAUGCGGAUCGACCCUGACCCGUGACUUGUGACCGACCCGGUCCGUUUUUCCCCUUUUGAAAAUAUUUUUUAUUUUUUCAACACUGUUUCUGUUCAUUUUUCAGUUUCUGUAGUUUACUGUUCAUUUUUCAGUUUCUGUAGUUUACUGGUUUUAAGUAUUUUACUGUUAAGUAUUUUAUACUGUGUAAUCUGUUUUACUAAGUGUUUUACAGAUUGUGUUGAAACGUUAUUUAAACCUAUACAGAUUAUUUUGAGAACAGAUUCGUACUUGUACUCCCCUCCCCUCUCCUUAUCACGUCUACAUUCUAGACUACAUUAUUACUUUAGGUGCGUCUUUGAUUUAAACACCAUUUUCUUACUCGCAAACUCUGUGACAUUUACAGUUUAUUUUAGUUUCCAUAGAUUCCAUGUGUGCUCGCUUUAUAUACAGUCCCACUCCGUAGGCGUCCACUCCACGACAUCUCCCAAUUCAUGUUGUAGGUGUGGUAGGUUGCUUAUGCAGAAUCGGUGACAUAGAGAGUGUUGAUUCGAAAUGGAAAAACGAGACAUUGAGGUUCUUACUGAUUAGUAAGCCACUGGACUCAUUUUAAGUGCCUUGCGUUUGUUCUCUUCCAUGCAAUUGCCAGCACUAUUAGCCACAAGGUUCGUGUGGCCGAUCACCAUGAAUUUUAUGAAAAGCUGGUGACAGUUUAACAAUCCUUCAAAUGCUUAUGAAAAGCUGGCGACAACUUACCAAUCUUCCAAAUGCUUGAGCGUAAAGGACUUCAUUGUCGAUAACAGAAGUUAGGCGUUUACCUUUUGCGGUCAUUGUCUUGGAAGCCUUCAAAUUCUCAAUCUGUAUGCGGAGAUAAGACUUUAACUACAAUUCAGACUCAGAACUUGCAGAAUGAAAAAUAUAGUUAAAGGUGGAAAACAAAGAAAUACAGCUGAUUUUUUUAUGUAGAUUAACCGUCAUUCAAGAUCAUGCGUUGAGCAGGCUGCAACCAAGAAAAAAAGAAGGAAAAAUUUGCAAUAUUUGUGGGCAACUAUUAUACGACUUAAGGCUUUAUGUUUUAAGGAAGAGUCUUCCAUACAAUAUUUUGGACAACAUAGUUGUUGCAUUAGUAGCCCUGCUAUGCUAUGUUGCUCGGACCCUUCACUUUUGCCGCCGUACCCGUGUCCGACACGACACGACACGGGUUUGGGUACGGAAUUCGUGUCGGAUCCGGUCAAUAGAGAUCGGAUACUUUGACCGAAAUUCAUGACCAAAUUAAAGAAAAAUUUUGAGAUUAUGAUUUCUCAAGAUAACAAAAAGUAGAGAUUUGAAGACAUGAGAUGGCAUACCUUCAAUAUUAUGUAGAAAAUUUAAUUAGUUUCUCAGAGCACGCAGUCUAGCACCUAGUAGAAUGGAAGAUUGAAUCACAUGUCUGGUACAAACUACAUGUAGGUGCUUCCACAAAAAGCUCUCAUAAUCUAGGCAUAUUCUUGUAGCUAUAUUAUUAGAAUUUUGAAUUAUUUUUGCCGAAUCCCCGCACCCGUAUCCGUACCCGGAUCCGUACCCACGAAUCUUAAAAUUUAGAUCAUACCGAGUCCGACCUCUAGAUCCAUACCCGUAUCCGACACCCGCACCCGAGUCCGAGCAACAUAGCUGCUAUGUAUUUGCUGAUUUCAUGUUCUAAGCUCUCUUCUUUUUCUUCUAAGGCUCUGGUUUUGAUGAUUGUACGAACGUGCUCGAGUCGGUUCGCAUGUACUUUGAUUUUUUUUUUUUUAAGUUUUCUGCUUUAUGCUUUGAUUAAUGCAGAAUUUUGGGAUCCAAAUCUCAGUAGAUUGCCUACGAGCUAUAUUAGUUUGUGUGCUACUUGGCGCUCAAUAGUAUUGAUUUGUUUGUGUAACCGGCACAUGAGACAGUUUUGGAUAAUGGACAAGAAGAAGUAUCUGAUUGGAUCAUACACAUUCUACGAAGAGGUAGGGCAAGGAACGAGUGCCUGAAUUCAUUGCGCUCUUUGGAUCCUCUGAAUGAGAUUGUUGUUGUCAAAUCCUAGACUUUGAGCACGAUAGUUGCGAUUUGUUGUUUAGGUAAAGCCAAUUCAGGACUGAUGAUAUUCUCUAUUAAUUUCCAGCGCUAACUGUGAUGAUCGUGGAGUUGAUCGUAGUGGGAGGGAAGUGAUUCGUACCAUGAAGCCAUUAUGGAGUACUCUAACAACACCAAUAGAACUGGCGAUUUGCUUAAUUCUUCAUCACUUUCAAGUGGCAGGUCAAGAGAUAUAAUGAUAACUUUCGUUUGUUUCUGCACAUAAAUGUGCAUGCUCUGAAGAACUCCAUCCUGUUUUCUCUAUUAAGUAUUAUUCAACUUUCGAUUUUUCUUAUGUUCUUUAUCCAUACUGUUUCCCGAGGACUGAAGCUUCCAAGGUAACCCAGUAUUAUUGUGUAAUCCUUUUACUUGGGACACACUUGAAUAAAUGGGGAGGUUGAGAAUAA